CUUACAAUGCAAGAAUGGUAUUCGUUGUUUCUGUUAUAAUAGCAUCGAAACAAUUAUUAAAUUUUCAAGUCAACUCUUUGGUGUGAUAAGCCAGAUGAAAGGUAAAAGGACAGAAAAUAGAGACCGCAUAUAUGGUUGAGUCUAAAAAGAGUAUUAAAAAACAGACACUGAAAAAUAAUACAAAAAAAAUUGGCGAAUUGGUACCCGACGUGGCUACAUCCCUGCAUUGGUGGAAGCGACACGAUCGCUUUAUUUUCUAUACAAAAAAAAA